GUCAAGUCUUAAAUGACAGAACAGGUGGAAACGUCCCAGGUGAGUCCUGAUUGUGAUGACAUCACUCUCCACCUCUACAGAUGUUUCUUCUAUUAUAUUAUAGUUAUAGAACACAGUGACAGAACCGGUUCAGAACAGACAAACAGAAUAUGUUGAGAAUAAACAGCUUUUUUCACAACGCAUUUUCUUUAUUAUUUAAUGUAAAUAGACAACAAAGUUCACAUGAAGCACAACAAAAGUUUAAAGUUGAGGAGCUGCUGUAAAGUCUUCACUGUUGAUGUGUUUCUGUCAUGAUGGGAGUCAGAAAAGCUGUAAAUAGUUAGAAACUGUCAGUAGAAGUUAAAUGUGUGAAAUAUGAUCCUCUGUUGAAGAAUGCUGCGAGCUGUAACUGAGCCUCAUCAGGAUUUUUAUCACUUUUUGGUUUCUUGUGUUUUUCUUCAAUCUUAAACUCGCUCUGAUCAACAAGCAGAGAUGUGAUGAACAAAAAACAUCCCAACAUUACAUUUCUGAUGCUGUAAUUAAAUCUAAUGUCAUCUUUUGUUUCUAUGUUUCCUGGUGCAGCUUCAAAGCCGUCUAUCACCACAUUUAUAACACCUGAAGGGGCGCUGCUGCAAUGUGGAGUCCUUGGUGUUUUUCCAAAACCUAAGAUGGAGUGGAGGGACAGUUCUGGAAACAUCCUCCCUGGUCAAAAUCUGAAGGAAACAGAAAGUGGAGGCCGCUACAACGUACAACUCCAAACUGCUGUAACCAAGAGCGGCCGCUAUCGCUGUGUCGUCACUCAGGAGGAAAUCGGCCAUCAGACUGAAGCUGAGACCUACUUUAAUUUCAACGGUGCAGCUGCAGGGCCAGGGUCCAACACUGGACUGGUCACGUUGUGGUUCUUGGUGUUGCUGUGGUUGUUCUAGCUUUGCUGCUUUGGAAACUCAAUCAUAGGACACAGGACGAUCAGGUCGGUCGGACUUUCUUCACUGUAAGAACAGUUGUACCAGAAGUGACCCAGAUCCAACAACACCAGAACCACUGAAACAACCUGAUCCAUAAAGUAUCCAGCUCUGCUUGUGCUGUGAAGUUUUCUGCUGUGUGUGUUUCCACCAUGUUGGAUGAUGGUGAAGACUUUUGUUGCUCUUCUUUUAUUUCAGGCAGUUUGAGAAUUAAAAUGUGUUUUUUUAAGUUAAAAGUAAUUUCAGGUUGAGGUUCAGAGUUAACAAAUGAACAGUCACAUCCGCUUCAAGUGGUGAUUGACGAACACAGGAAAUAAACUGUGUUUGAACUUCCCUUUAAUUCUGACCAACUCCCUCUUUCACUUGAGAAUUAAAUGAAUUCUGAUAUUUGGUGAGAUUCAGUUCCACUCUUGUGCAGCUUGUGCCAUCAGUGAGUGAGUGAGUGAGUGAAUGGAUGAAUGAGGGCAGCAGUGAUGUAUAAAUGCGUCUAUUUACCAAAUCUUCUCAGACUGCUUGUAGAGCUUAAAGCUCCUGACUGAGCUCCACAUGUGCUUUAAAACCAUCAGACUUCACUGAACUGAAGCUGCUGUUUGGAGGAUGUUGAACUGUCGUGUCUUAUUCUGCCAGCUGUUUGUAUUAUUCUUAUCUCAGUUUGAGAUUAUCUCAGCUUGAUCAGGUCAUUUCAGGCAGCGCUUCAUCAUUUCUGUACAAACGUUUGAAUAAAACAUGAAAACUGUCAAACUGUGUGUUGUGACUGUUUCUGAUGUUUCUGUGUUCAAACCGGGAUCAAAGAAAUAAAAGUGAUGUUAAUUUCUGGGUGUGAUUCUGAGAUGAUCUCUAUUUUCCAGCAGCUGUCAGGACAGCAAAGAGACAACAGAGCAGAUAAAUCCUCUUUAAAACAGGUUUCUAGAGACAGUUUAGCUCACUGACAGCUUCAUGAAUGGAGAUCACAGCUGAAUGUAAAGAAAUCCUCAUGUGUGUGUAACAAGGCCUGAGUCUGUGAGGAGAGAACAUGUUCCACACCUGCUGACGGCUGUUGUUUGAAUCAGAAUCAGAAAUCCUUUAAUGUCCCGCAAACAGGGACAUUAGUUUGUUCCAGCAGUCAAACGACAGAAUAUUACAAAAGACAAAACCAACAGCAAAAAUAAACGAAACAAUUAAAAAGGCAGGAAAAAGAAAAGACGUAUACACAUAUAGACAUGACAUAGUGCAAAAUUAACAGCAGUGAUUGUUUUUUCACAAACACAAAUAAUACAAAUAUGGGUGUUUAUUAAAUUACCAGCUGC
ensembl:lncRNA